CAAUGUUUUUGUUAAAGUUACCCAAUUAACUUUAUUUGAUAAUGUUUUUGUUAAAGUUACCCAACUAACUUUAUUUGAUAAUGUUUUUGUUAAAGUUUAUUUGUAAAUUUUUCUAAAAGAAAAUUCUUUUAAUUCGCAGUAAUUAAUUCUAUUAAUUUAUUUAAGUUUGAAUUUGUAUAUUGAUUAUUAUUAUGAUAAAUUUUGUGCCAGCAAUCGCGGUUACACAAUUAUAAUAUAUUAAGUUUUUUUUUCUUUUAGUUAUAAUUUUUUUUGAAUUUUUAUUUUUGGUAGGUGAGGUGAAAUUUUUCUAUUUGAUUUUGUUUUAAUUUAUAGUCUAAGAAAUUCUUUUAUUAAACUAGGAUUAGAUACCCUAUUAUUUUGAAUGUUAAUUUAUUUGAUUGAUUAUUAAUAGUUAUGAUCUUUAAAUUCAAAGAAUUUGGCGGUAAUUAAGCCUUUUUAGAGGAACCUGUUCCUUAAUUGAUAGUCCACGAUUGAUUUUACUUAGAUGAUACUUGUAUAUCUCUGUUAUUGAAUGUAUUAUAAGAUUAUUUUCAAAAGUUUUUUUACAUAAAAGAUAAGGAAAAAAUAGUAGGUCAAGGUGCAGUUUGUAUUUAAGUGGAAAUGGGUUACAAUAAUAUAUUUUUGGAUUUUAAAAUGAAAUUAAUUUAAAUGAAAUUGGAUUUAAAAGUAAUAUUAAUUAAAUAAUUAAUAUGAUUUAAGCUCUUAAUUAUGUACAUAUCGCCCGUCACUCUCAUUAAUUUGAGAUAAGUCGUAACAAAGUAGGUUUACCGGAAGGUGAAGCUGGAAAGUU
rnacentral:ncRNA from 1 species